UACAGGGGGGUGCAAACGUUGCUCGGAAUUAUUGGGCGUAAAGCGCGCGUAGGCGGCUCCUUAAGUCGGAUGUGAAAGCCCCUUGGCUCAACUGAGGAAGAGCACCCGAAACUGAGAGCUUGAGUACUAAAGAGGGUCGCGGAAUUGCCCGGUGUAGUAGGUGAAAUUCGUAGAUAAUCGGGGAGGAACACCGGUGGCGAA
rnacentral:rRNA from 1 species